rnacentral:rRNA from 1 species
GGCGCAAGCGUUGUCCGGAAUUAUUGGGCGUAAAGAGCUCGUAGGCGGUCUGUUGCGUCCGCUGUGAAAACUCGGGGCUUAACCCCGAGCCUGCAGUGGAUACGGGCAGACUAGAGGUAGGUAGGGGAGAAUGGAAUUCCCGGUGUAGCGGUGAAAUGCGCAGAUAUCGGGAGGAACACCGGUGGCGAAGGCGGUUCUCUGGGACGGUACUGACGCUGAGACGCGAAAGCGUGGGGAGCGAACAGG